rnacentral:rRNA from 1 species
GAUGAACGCUGGCGGCGUGCUUAACACAUGCAAGUCGAACGGAAAGGCCCUGCUUUUGUGGGGUUCUCGAGUGCCGAACGCGUGAGUAACACGUGAGUAACCUGCCCUUGACUUUGGGAUAACUUCAGGAAACGGGGGCUAAUACCGGAUAGGAUCUCCUGCUCCAUGGUGGGCGUUGGAAAUUUUCGGCGGUUGGGGAUGGACUCGCGGCUUAUGAGCUUGUUGGUGGGGUAGUGGCUUACCAAGGCUGUGACGGGUAGCCGGCAUGGGAGGGUGACCGGCCACAUUGGGACUGAGGUACGGCCCAGACUCCUACGGGAGGCAGCAGUGGGGAAUAUUGCACAGUGGGCGGAAGCCUGAUGCAGAAACGCCGCGUGCGGAAUGACGGCCUUCGGGUUGUAAACCGCUUUCGCCUGUGACGAAGCGUGAGUGACGGUAAUGGGUAAAGAAGCACCGGCUAACUACGUG